UUGACCUCGGAUCAGGUAGAGAAUACCCGCUGAACUUAA
rnacentral:rRNA from 1 species